GGGUGAGAGGGCCGGCCUGGACCCGGCGGGCGGAGGGCUCCGAGCCCAGCGCAGCCGAGCCGGUCCGCAGAGGGGCCCCCAGAACUUUGUGUGUGUGUGCACGCGCGUGUGUGUGUGCCCAGGUGCGAGGGUGCGCGCGUGUGCUGGCGGGGAGGGAACCGACCCGAAAGAGAGCCCCGGGCUGGCAAAGUGGCUCGCCCAUCUCACAGCCGGUUGGCGCUCGCGGAGGAGACAUGUACUGCCUGGACCGCCUGGCUGAUUUGAGCUAGUUUGUCUGGUUGAGUUGGAUGUUUAAAUAGAAGGCAGAACAACAACAGAAGCUUUGAGGAAGAGCCAUAACUACCUGGAGCAGAAUGAUUAUUUGGAGCCACAGAAAAUCAUUUUAGGGAGCAGUGGGUCCAGGUUCAGUGUUGUGUGUUCAACUCUGAAAGAACACAGUUGGGUGACUGACUGGGUUACUUCUCCCCUGUGGCUCUGCUUGCAUUGGUUAUUCUGAGGUCAGGCAGGGAUUUGGCCACAGUGUUAGCCACUGGCCCUGCAUUGAUCCUCACGUAUUAACAUCUUGUUUGGUUAUUAAAGUGGCUGAAUUGUUGGA